rnacentral:rRNA from 1 species
UACAUGGGGUGCAAACGUUGCUCGGAAUUAUUGGGCCUAAAGCAUCCGUAGCCGGUUCUACAAGUCUUCCGUUAAAUCCACCUGCUUAACAGAUGGGCUGCGGAGGAUACUAUAGAGCUAGGAGGCGGGAGAGGCAAGCGGUACUUAGUGGGUAGGGGUAAAAUCCGUUGAUCCAUUGAAGACCACCAGUGGCGAAGGCGGCUUGCCAGAACGCACUCGACGGUGAGGGAUGAAAGCUGGGGGAGCAAACCGG